AGUGAACGCUGGCGGUAGGCCUAACACAUGCCAGUCGAACGGCAGCACAGUAAGAGCUUGCUCUUACGGGUGGCGAGUGGCGGACGGGUGAGGAAUACAUCGGAAUCUACUUUUUCGUGGGGGAUAACGUAGGGAAACUUACGCUAAUACCGCAUACGACCUACGGGUGAAAGCAGGGGAUCUUCGGACCUUGCGCGAUUGAAUGAGCCGAUGUCGGAUUGGCUAGUUGGCGGGGUAAAGGCCCACCAAGGCGACGAUCCGUAGCUGGUCUGAGAGGAUGAUCAGCCACACUGGAACUGAGACACGGUCCAGACUCCUACGGGAGGCAGCAGUGGGGAAUAUUGGACAAUGGGCGCAAGCCUGAUCCAGCCAUACCGCGUGGGUGAAGAAGGCCUUCGGGUUGUAAAGCCCUUUUGUUGGGAAAGAAAAGCAGCAGGUUAAUACCCCGCUGUUCUGACGGUACCCAAAGAAUAAGCACCGGCUAACUUCGUG
rnacentral:rRNA from 1 species